AGCUUCAGAUUUGAUGUUGGUGUUCCAUCCUUUAGUAGGGAAUGUUCUUUUGGGACAUUACAAUGAUAUGCCAAUGCCUUAAAGACCACUAUGACAAUGUUCCCUUGAGCUUCAGCUUCAAGAAUGAUUGCCUCGGAGAAUCGGAUGCUGGAAAUUAAUUCAAAUGGAUGUUGUUUGAAUUGCUUGUCCUAACAGGUGCACAAGUUGGGAUGGAUUGGAAUUCUAUCUUGAGAAAACGUCAUAAUUUCAGGUAGUUAUUAUUGUAAUGGAAAGUUAAAAAAUUAAAAGAGAGAGAUAAUGAAUUCAUGAAAAGAAAUGUUCUCUAUCAUUAGGGCUGCUUUCGCCAGGUUUGAUGCAGAAAUCGCCGCCAACUUCACAGAAAGACAAAGAGCAUCAGUGGUCAUAGAUUGCAACCUGGAUUUAAACAAGGUUAGAGGUGCCGUCAACAAUGUUAACAGAAUCCUCCAGGUCAGAUUGUUGAUUGGACCUGAUUUUAUUUAAAUGAUCUUAAUAAUCCAAUUUAUUUAAAUGAGCAGACCCGGAUGUGCGUCGGAGCUAUCCGGAUGUUGAGCGGGGGUCCCUGGAAGGUGGGAACCGCUGUUAUGACAAUGAUGAAAAUGUCCAUUUUCUAUGGACAACAUUGGAGUGGCCUAACCAUUUGGACAGACUGUGUUUAUAUCUGUAUUUGCUCGAAAUUGAUGGAGCAGACCCGGAUGUGCGUCGGAGCUAUCCGGAUGUUGAGCGGGGGUCCCUUGAAGGUGGGAACUGCUGUUAUGACCAUGAUGAAGCUGUCCAUUUCCUAUUGACAGUAGUGGAGUGGCCUGACUAUUUGGACAGGCCGUGUUUAUAUCUGUAUUUGCAGGGACCACACCCUUAACCUAUAACCUAAACCUAUUCUCAAAUCCCAAAACCUAUAACUACAACCUAAACCUUAACCUAAACCUAUAACCUAUAACCUAAACC